rnacentral:lncRNA from 1 species
GUGCUUCAGAAAACAGGAGGUGGAUUCAGUGGAAUCGCUUCAUUGGCUCGCAAUAAUCAUCCCUCAGCUUCUGAAGUUCCUAGUCUUGAACAGGCAGAAACUGCCUUUCCUUCAAGAAUUUCCCCCAGCUCAGACACUCCCCAGUUCCACCUUCCUCUAAUAAGCACGUCUGUAAAAUCCAUCCUUUUCUUCUGGAGUCCUUCCUCCACAUACUACCGGCUGCACUGAAACCACAGGUUUGAAACCCUCCUUUUUCUCCCAUGAGGCUGGAAAGAACGGAAAGAUGAAUGUGAAUAUUCCUAUAACAGCAGACAACCACAAGAGGACACAAUUCUCCAUGAAGUACNGUAUCACCAA